rnacentral:rRNA from 1 species
GCGUACGGCAUUUUAAUGGAUGCACAUACGAGACGUGAAUAAUAUGUGACAUUAUUCUCCUCGGAGACAUGAAAAUAUGUUUUUAGGCAUUCUGUUUCUAAAUGAAUUUUAAUAUCAUUUUCUGUUUGAAAGUCUAUACCGCAUAACAUGCAUUCUCUGGAUAGAAAACACAGUAUUGAAGAUAUUUUAGAAUUUCUUCUGCACAGCCUAUGGUGUGCUUUACUUUGAGUUUCUGGAACAUUUUCAGAGCGCAUUGGGUCUAAUCCAUAAGAUAUAAUCAUUUUUGUAUUUAAACUGAGG